GGGCCCGCCCGCAGCCGCCGGGGUGAGCGCUGCCGCCGCCGGAGUCGCGCCGGGGCAGCGGGAGGGGUCGGCGCUCCGCUGAGAAAAAGCUGUAAAUCGGGAAGAAGGCGUUUCCGAGGUACCCGGAUGAGUCGUUCACGUUGUGCCUCUGGAAACUCGGAUGCGGCUCUCGGCAGAGCUGGGAGCUCCGCGGUGUCUCCGUGCGCUCGCCCGUGCUGGGGCCGCUCAGCGCGAAGAACGAUCGGGAGCAGACCGCGGAAUGCAAUUUUUUGCUAUGUGGAAAAUUGCAUUAUUUGUGUGUUGUUAUUAAAAACCUGUCUGUUGUGUUCAGCCUCUUGUAGUGUAUUUUAAGGACAGGACAGGACAGGACAGUUCUUUUGAAAGGUACCUACAACUAUUACCUGGUACAACUGCCUGGCCACUUCAGGGCCAAGCAAAAGGUACAGCACGUUGUUAAGAAUUGCACGCUGAGGAACACCUCUGGCAGCCCUAGUCGCUGCAUCCUGCUGGGCUCUGCGCUUCAGCCAGGCCUUCAGCCAGCACUGGGUGAACCCACUGUUGGACAACAUGUUCAGCAGGUGCUGUGAAGGACAGCAACAGAAGGCUUAACCCAAAUUUACGAAUUCUUACAUCCAUGUCCUUCCCUUCAACCACUAGAUAAGUGCUCUAGGCCUGAGACUGGACUCAUGAGUUACCUGUGCCACUAGGAGCAGCAGCUGAAAAGGAUUUACAGAGCAGUCUGAAAAGGAUAACAAACGCAAUUGCAUUUACUGAAGGAUCUCAUUCUGUCAUCCCUAGUUAGGUGUGCUUGGAGAACAUUUACUGAGCAGGGCUUACGUGUCACUCCAUGAGUUUCUAGGUCUUGUGGUGACACUGUAGGCUGAUCCGAUGGGAUUUAGGUAGUGCUUUUGGGAUUUUAGAGCCCAGAGGCUGUGAGAUUAACUUAUAAAAUUAACACUGUGUGGUUGAAGGGUGUUGUAGAAUUUGUAAUUUUCUCUUCUUCCCCCUUCAUCCCCCCUCCCCCCUUCCCGCACGUUCCCCCUUUGUCCUGCAUCCCCUUCUCACUCCCCCUCCCCCCGUGGUCCCUUCUCCCGACCCUUUGUUCCCUUAUCACUCCCCCUCACCAUGCGGUCCGGUCCCUGUCCCCCGCCCCCCCCCCCCGCCUUUCCCAUCGCUGUCCCCAGGGUUUCCCUGCCCCUGUCCCCUGCCUCCCGUCCCAUUGGCUGUGGCUCAGGUUCCCCCCCACCCCCGGCACGGGGUAUAACCGACCACUGCUCUACAAUAAACACGUGUUUGCACCCGAGCCCCGUGUCGCCAUUUCGUCUGUUCCCGCGCUAGAACUGAGCCUCACAGAGCUGAAGGGGAAAAGUGGCCGCCGCCUCUCCCCUCCUCCCGCCGUGCCCACAGGCACCCGCCCGGAGCUGGUCUCGCAUGGCAACAAAUGGCAGCAGAGGAUGGUUAUUUUCAUCGAUUUGUGAAAGGGGGGAGAGAGAAAGGAACUCUGCCGCCGCAAGAGCUCUGCAGACAUUAAGAGGAGUGGAUUCGCCGGGCGGAAAACAAACCCGAAGCUCCAGGACCCUCUUCUGUCCUCGCAGGCAUGCUCUCUAACCCGCCCGGGAGCAGCCGUGCUGCGGGGGCAGCCGGACUGCAGGGGCCAGGAGCCGGGUAGACUUACCCGAGCACAAAGAGGGGCAGUUUGGCAGUGGCUCGAUGGACUGAGUUCGAAGAGUGGCCCGUCAGGGGGACGGCAUUUGAACGGCGACCAGAGGUUGACAGUGGCCAAACCCAGGGUUUCAAGGGCAAACUCUGGUUAACGGGAACACCCGGGCUUCUAAGAGAGCCAAACUGCGAAAGAAUACAUUCUCAGUUCAGCGCGAUUUUCCACCACCGAGGAGAGAGAUAGAGAUUUCACCGCCCGAGCCCGGAGGGUAAGUUGGGUCAGAGCAGGGUGGGACCCUGGCGGGUGGCAGGGCUACCUUUUAUUCUUUUGAGUUUUAACCACCGUCCGCAUCUAGACAGGGACUGUAGGCUUGCAUGUCCCUGGCGGCCGGGAGGCUUUUUCUUUUCCGAGGAGGACGCAACCUCACUCAGUCUUUUUGGGGUAACUCAUACUGGAAAGCUCCUUCUCUUUCUCGGAAAGCUGCCUUUUCUACCCUCUCCUCCCUAUUCAGGGCUAUGGGGGCAGGGGGUGUCAAAAGGACACCAAUGGGACAGAGUUGUAAACGGCGACACGUCAGUUAUGGGAGAAUUGUUAACAUCCUAAGAGAGGCCCUUCGCAUGCAUGCCUUUCAUUGGCUUCCAGCCGCGUUGGGCCCCUCUCCUGCAGAUUUUCCCCUUGGCUGCUGUGACGUUCCCCUUUCCCUUUUCCCCACAGAUUUCCCCAAGCCUUCUCCCUUGGGGAUGGCAGUGGCUGAGCUGCCCCAAGUGCCCUGCCGGACACUCUUAUCCUCCUUAGGGGUGGCAUUGGCCGUGCCUGCCCAGGCGAGAUGCAGUGCACCUGGCACCCCCUCCCAAGAUGGGGCUGGCCACGCUACAGGGACCCCAUUUUCCCACCUUGACCCUUCUCUUCCACCCACGUUUUCCCGCCAGCCCCACCCAUCCCCCCAUCGCCCUGCACCAUCCCGCAGCGAGCCAGCCCCUAUUGAGGACGAGGUGAGGUUGGAUUAAUCCCUCAGUCCUUCUUCUGGUCCCUGCUCUGAUGGGAGGGAUUGCCAGAGGGGCCCCUCUGUUAGAGGACCUCAAUUUGUAAGAGAGCUUUCCCCUUUGCUGUGGGGGGGGCUCCCUCCGAAGGAAGUGGAGCUGGAAACCCGGACCAGGGCUCCACUGUUUUCUUUCCCCUGACAUGGUGGUGCCUAGGUUCACCUCUUUAUGCCAUCUCCUAAAUGUACCUUGCCCAAAGUUCCCUUAUUAUUUCAAUACAAGUUUUCCCCAUUGCUUGUGAUAAUUUGGAAAUAACUUCUUGGAUUGAGUUCUAUCUUAUAGAAGGAAAGAUCAUCCUCUACUGCCCACAAUGCUAUGCCAACUUCGCAAUCAAAUUGGAGAAACCACAUCGCUGUUCGCUGCCUGCUUCUGCUCUGCUAGAAUUUGGAAACCAUAAGCAUUGUGUCAUGAAUCCUGCUUUCAUCCUCGAUACAGAAUGUGUUUACGAUAAUUUUGUACCCUUUAUCUUAAAUUGUAAUGUGCAAAAGAUUUUUGCCCCAUUCAUUGUAACUAUGAUUGGUGUAUCACUUUCUGAUGUCUCUCGAAUUUGUAACGUUGCUAAUUUGUUUUUACCUCAGAACUCCCUUUCCUUUAUGUAAAUUCAAAAGACUGAGCUGCAGGAUUUGUAAUUUUCUCUUCUUCCUCCCCCAUCCCCCCUCCCCCUUUCCCAUGCGUUCCCCCUUUGUCCUGCAUCCCCUUCUCACUCCCCCUCCCCCCGCGGUCCCUUGUCCCAACCCUUUGUUCCCUUACCUCUCCCCCUCACCAUGCAGUCCGGUCCCUGUCCCCCACCCCUCCCGCCUUUCCCAUUGCGGUCUCCGGGGUUUCCCUGCCCCUGUCCCCUGCCUCCCGUCCCAUUGGCUGCGGCUCAGGUUCCCCCCGACCCCCGGCACAGGGUAUAACCGACCCCCCCGCUCGGUACCCCGGGGCCUCGGGGACACACUUCUACAAUAAACACGUGUUUGCACC
ensembl:lncRNA